rnacentral:rRNA from 1 species
AGCGAACGCUGGCGGUAGGCCUAACACAUGCAAGUCGAACGGCAGCACAGGAGAGCUUGCUCUCUGGGUGGCGAGUGGCGGACGGGUGAGGAAUACAUCGGAAUCUACUUUUUCGUGGGGGAUAACGUAGGGAAACUUACGCUAAUACCGCAUACGACCUACGGGUGAAAGCAGGGGACCUUCGGGCCUUGCGCGAUUGAAUGAGCCGAUGUCGGAUUAGCUAGUUGGCGGGGUAAAGGCCCACCAAGGCGACGAUCCGUAGCUGGUCUGAGAGGAUGAGCAGCCAAACUGGAACUGAGACACGGUCCAGACUCCUACGGGAGGCAGCAGUGGGGAAUAUUGGACAAUGGGCGCAAGCCUGAUCCAGCCAUACCGCGUGGGUGAAGAAGGCCUUCGGGUUGUAAAGCCCUUUUGUUGGGAAAGAAAUCCAGCUGGCUAAUACCCGGUUGGGAUGACGGUACCCAAAGAAUAAGCACCGGCUAACUUCGUGCCAGCCGCCGCCGUAA